ACAAACCAAAACCUAAUUCUCAUUUCAAAAUUUAAACCCAGCUUUUUCUUGCUAUAAUUUCUGCUCUCUCUCUCUCAAAAUUCUAGAUCUGAUUACUCUCUAGGUUCAAAUCCUCCCUUCUUCUACAGGUUUUUUUUAAUGAUGCUGAGAUUUUAGUAGAGAGAUGGAAAAUCUGGUGGGAUUCAUCUGCCGUCGAUUUGAGCUUUAGCUGAGUACAAGACUAGAUCAUAAAGAGUAUUCAAGAAACCAUCAAUCUCCACUUUGUGAUUUACUUUUGUUUUCUUCAAUCUCACAUCCAUAUUUGUCUCCAUGUAAUAUUCAUUAUAUAGGCUUCAAUCCCACUGUCUUUGACAGUGACGAUACAUCAGGAUUGUUGAAUGGAACCAAGAAUCUGUUGCUGUUUUUAAGUUAGAUGGGGUUUUCAGGGAUGCUGCAUUCAUGGUGUUCGAUAGGAAAAGGCACGGUUAGCGUCGGCACCGCCUUAUCUGUCUCUAGCACCAAAAUCUAAAAACUUGAGUACCACGCCGCGGUUACCGGAUUGAGUUUUGCAUCAGAAUCUUCAACGGAACCGAUAGAACUUUUGAUACGCAAAUAAUGGAGAUUCUUACUGGACGGGUUAUUUUACAAGUCGCCCUGCCCUCAAAGGACAAGUACGAUCAUUGAGCGGAUAUUAUUUGUCUUGGGGAUGCUUUAGGAAUUGCGCAACAUCAUGAUGCUAUUUUCGGUACUGCUAAACAACAUACAACAAAUGACUACCAAAACGCUUAGCAAUUGGAGCUCUCGAGGCUGAGGCUGUUGUCAAUUCAGCUUUAUCAUGCCUAACAAGUUCUACAAGUAACUGCACCAUAUCCACAUCCACAUUUAGCCAGUAAUUUUCUAUGUCAGUGUCCGCUGCUCAAUAUAAGUUUUUGCCCACCGGUGGAAAACAUUCCUUCUGGGAAGAGUUUGGUAAUGCAGCCUCAGUCUAGAUGUGUAGGCUAAAAAGAAGGUUAUCCAUGCUAUUUUCUUAAUGACGGUGUCAACACAUCACAAUCAAGGAUGUUUCUAAGAUAUUAAGGAGAAUACUUUGUGGUGGAUGCUUAAGAGAUCGACGAUCACGAGAGUCUAUAUCACAAACUGGGCGUCGUUCUCUGGUCUAGACUUGUAACUUUGUGUUUUUGUUUUGGUGUGUUAUUAUUGGUUUGUUUCUGUUCUUGGGGGGCGAUAUGAUGCAAGUGUGUGGUGUCUGGUCUCUUCCCAGCUCCUUGCUAGGUGGUGGCCUUAACUGUUUGGUUUGAAAAAAAUCGGGUUUGGUUGUUAAAAAAAAGAAUAGUGCCUAAGUGGUUCACCACCUGUGGGAAUAAGACAAUAUUUGAAGUUUUCAAGUUGUGGUCACAAAAGUAAAGCAAAUCCUCUUAGAUAUAACAUAAACAGAAAAUUUAAUAUGCAUUCUACUACCUUCAUUGGACAUUAUUGACUUUUCAAAGUUGACCAGACUUUUAAAGUCAGCAUGAAUUUACAAAUAAAUAUGAGUUUUUGAUGAGCUAGCCUAAAGUAUACAAUGACGU
rnacentral:lncRNA from 1 species